UAAGCCCUUACGGGGAAAGUUUUAAUGCCGAAAGAUGAGCCCGCACUUGAUUAGCUAGUUGGUAAGGUAAAAGCUUACCAAGGCAACGAUCAAUAGCUGUUCUUAGAGGAAGACCAGCCACAUUGGGACUGAGACACGGCCCAAACUCCUACGGGAGGCAGCAGUGGGGAAUCUUGCACAAUGGAGGAAACUCUGAUGCAGCGAUGCCGCGUGAGUGAAGAAGGCCCUUGGGUUGUAAAGCUCUUUCGUCGGGGAAGAAAAUGACUGUACCCGAAUAAGAAGGUCCGGCUAACUUCGUGCCAGCAGCCGCGGUAAUACGAAGGGACCUAGCGUAGUUCGGAAUUACUGGGCUUAAAGAGUUCGUAGGUGGUUGAAAAAGUUGGUGGUGAAAUCCCAGAGCUUAACUCUGGAACUGCCAUCAAAACUUUUCAGCUAGAGUAUGAUAGAGGAAAGCAGAAUUUCUAGUGUAGAGGUGAAAUUCGUAGAUAUUAGAAAGAAUACCAAUUGCGAAGGCAGCUUUCUGGAUCAUUACUGACACUGAGGAACGAAAGCAUGGGUAGCGAAGAGGAUUAGAUACCCUCGUAGUCCAUGCCGUAAACGAUGUGUGUUAGACGUUGGAAAUUUAUUUUCAGUGUCGCAGGGAAACCGAUAAACACACCGCCUGGGGAGUACGACCGCAAGGUUAAAACUCAAAUGAAUUGACGGGGACCCGCACAAGUAGUGGAGCAUGUGGUUUAAUUCGAAGAUACGCGCAGAACCUUACCAACACUUGACAUGUUCGUCGCGACUCUAAGAGAUUAGAGUUUUCGGUUCGGCCGGACGAAACACAGGUGCUGCAUGGCUGUCGUCAGCUCGUGUCGUGAGAUGUUGGGUUAAGU
rnacentral:rRNA from 1 species